rnacentral:tRNA from 1 species
AGAGACUUAGGAUAACAAGACCAAAAGCCUUCAAAGCUUUAAGCAGGAGUUAAACUCUCCUAGUCCCUG